UACGAAGGGGGCUAGCGUUGUUCGGAUUUACUGGGCGUAAAGCGCACGUAGGCGGAUCGUUAAGUCGGGGGUGAAAUCCUGGAGCUCAACUCCAGAACUGCCUUCGAUACUGGCGAUCUUGAGUCCGGAAGAGGUGAGUGGAACUCCUAGUGUAGAGGUGGAAUUCGUAGAUAUUAGGAAGAACACCCGUGGCUAAGGCGGCUCUCUAGUACGGUACUGACGCUGAGACGCGAAAGCGUGGGGAGCGAACAGG
rnacentral:rRNA from 1 species